rnacentral:sRNA from 1 species
GUUUCUUUAUCUAAAUAAUUUGGAUUCGAAAUUUUUAGCCACUUACAUAAUAGAACCAUCAAUUCCCAACAAAUUAGGUCUACUAAAUAGAUUACUUUCGGAAGACGACUAUUGCGCGCGAUUUUUCAAUAUCUGCAU